ensembl:miRNA microRNA 107
UACUCUGAGCUUUGAGCCUCUUUACAAUGCUGCCUUGUAGACCCAGAAUCAAGCAGCAUUGUACAGGGCUAUGAAAGCACAGAG